GGAAGGAUCAUUAACAAGUUCUCAAGUCAACCCUUUCUGUGCUGGUGGUAACACAAUGUGCACGUUAGGGUUGCAAAUCCAUACACCUGUGCAUCUUUGACUCUCCAUGCCUUGCCCUCAUUUUGAGGGAGCCUGAUUGUGGUCAAGCUGGCAUUUGAGUAUUUUUCACACACUGAAUGUAAAGGAAUGUCCAUGCAUAACAUGCAAUGAAACAACUUUCAACAACGGAUCUCUUGGCUCUCGCAUCGAUGAAGAACGCAGCGAAAUGCGAUAAGUAAUGUGAAUUGCAGAAUUCAGUGAAUCAUCGAAUCUUUGAACGCACCUUGCACCCUUUGGUAUGCCAAAGGGUACACCCGUUUGAGUGUCAUUGUAAUCUCACUCAUCUGACUUCUUUGUCAGCAUGUUGUGGAGUUGGAUGCUGCUGUGCUGUGACGGCUCAUCUGAAAUUUCUGAGUGCAUCCUCUAUUGCGAUGUGUUUGGUGUGAUAAAUCUUCACCAUAAUUGACCCUCUCAGGUCACACUCGCUUGGUUCAUGGCUCUGUGCUUCCAAACGUCCCCAAUGGGAUAAUGUUGACAAUUUGACCUCAAAUCGGGUGGGACUACCCGCUGAACUUAAGCAUAUCAAUAAGCGGAGGAAAAGAAACUAACUAGGAUUCCCCCAGUAACGGCGAGUGAAGAGGGAAAAGCUCAAAUUUUGAAUCUGGUGUCCUGUGGCACCCGAAUUGUAAUCUAGAGAAGUGUUUUCUGUGUUGGACCAUGCACAAGUUCCUUGGAAUGGGAUAUCAUAGAGGGUGACAGUCCCGUACAUGGCAUGGAUCCCAAUGCUCUGUGAUACACUCUCAACGAGUCGAGUUGUUUGGGAAUGCAGCUCAAAAUGGGUGGUGAAUUCCAUCUAAAGCUAAAUAUUGGCGAGAGACCGAUAGCGAACAAGUACCGUGAGGGAAAGAUGAAAAGCACUUUGGAAAGAGAGUGAAAUAGUACGUGAAAUUGUUGGAAGGGAAGCAUUUAAAGUCAGUCAGUGAUUUGGAAUUCAUCUUGGCUUCUGCCUGUUGUAAUUUCCAUUGACAGGUCAGCAUCAGUUUUGAUGGGGGGAAAAAGAUGUGGUGAAUGUGACUGUCUCUGGGCAGUGUUAUAGCUCCACAUUGUAUGCCUCUGUUGGGACUGAGGAUUGCAGCGCGCCAUAAAUGGCCGGAGGCUAUGUUCUCUCGACACCGCGCUUAGGAUGCUGGCAUAAUGUCUUUAAGUGACCCGUCUUGAAACACGGACCAAGGAGUCUAACAUGUGCGCAAGUGUUUGGGUGGCAAACCCAAGCGCGAAACAAAAGUGAAAAGUUGGGAUCCUUCAUUGGUGCACCGACGCCCAGAGCAGACCUUCUGUGACGCAUCUGCGGUAGAGCGCAUAUGUUGGGACCCGAAAGAUGGUGAACUAUGCCUGAAUAGGGUGAAGCCAGAGGAAACUCUGGUGGAGGCUCGUAGCGAUUCUGACGUGCAAAUCGAUCGUCAAAUUUGGGUAUAGGGGCGAAAGACUAAUCGAACCAUCUAGUAGCUGGUUCCUGC
rnacentral:misc_RNA from 1 species